rnacentral:rRNA from 1 species
GAUGAACGCUAGCGGCAGGCCUAACACAUGCAAGUCGAGGGGUAUAGUAGCAAUACUAGAGACCGGCGCACGGGUGCGUAACGCGUAUGCAACCUACCUUUCACAGGGGGAAUAGCCCAGAGAAAUUUGGAUUAAUGCCCCAUGGUAUAUUUGAGUGGCAUCACUUGAUUAUUAAAGUUCCAACGGUAAAAGAUGGGCAU